rnacentral:lncRNA from 10 species
UUUUUUUUUUUUUUUUUUUUUUUAGUAGAGAUGGGGUUUCACCAUGUUGGCCAGGCUGGUGUCAAACUCCUGACCUCAGGUGAUCCACCCACCUUGGCCUUCCAGAGUGCUGGGAUUACAGGCAUGAGCCACCGCACCCAGCGUUGUUUUGUUUUUUAGUCAGCAAUGGUUUUGGAUUCCAAAGCUCUCAGGACCAAGGCCCACGCAUUUUGUCUAGUUGUCAUGUACUCUUCAGUUUCUCAAACUGGAAUUGUCCCCCGCUAUGUGUUUUUCAUAACAUCAGCCUCUUGCAGAGUCCAGGCAGUUUGUCUUGUGUGGGAUGAUCCAUCAUCUGGAGUUGUCUUUCCUGAUGUUGUCCCCUCUGUUUGGUGCUGGGUGAGGCAUUAGAGUUGGAAGUCCACAUGCUUGAGUUGCCUGUACUGAGCUUGUCCAAGGGAAUGAGCCUAAUUUCUUUCUGUUGCUUCAUUCUAGGACUGUGAGGAAUGUAUCCAGCUGGAGCCGACCUUCAUCAAGGGUUAUACACGGAAA